UUUAUCUUCUUCUUUU
rnacentral:sRNA from 1 species